rnacentral:rRNA from 1 species
UACGUAGGCAGCGAGCGUUGUCCGGAUUUAUUGGGCGUAAAGAGCUCGUAGGCGGUUUGGCAAGUCGGGUGUGAAAACUCCGGGCUCAACUCGGAGACGCCACUCGAUACUGCCAUGACUCGAGUCCGGUAGGGGAGUGCGGAAUUCCUGGUGUAGCGGUGAAAUGCGCAGAUAUCAGGAGGAACACCGGUGGCGAAGGCGGCACUCUGGGCCGGUACUGACGCUGAGGAGCGAAAGCGUGGGGAGCAAACAGG